GUUUCGCCUGUAGAGGCAAACGUUCGACCGUAAAUCAGUGUGGACUUCCAUCUGGUAGUUGUUAACGAAAGUCGACGUCACGUAAUAGUAAUGAGUAAUAAUAACAAGCGGAAAUCGAGGAGCGGAGUGUCUCGUUUUGUUACCUCCCGAUUUACCCUUGACAGGCGUCGGAGUUGCCCGGUUCUUCGCGAGACGGUUCAACCUAGACCUACGCUGUGCUGCGAAAUUCGUAGGAAGGCUUCCAAUCAGUCGCCACAGUGGCUAAUUCGUCGCAAUACUCAUUCAACUUCCAACCUCGAAGGGCAGGAGUUACAUGGCAUCGCACAAUUCGUUCACAGGUACUCGGAGAUGCUGCCGCCGUAGCUGCUGUUUGCCCGGACUCCCCCUGUUCGUCAGGGGGAGUCCACCGUCCCCUGGGACUGCGCGGCCUC
rnacentral:misc_RNA from 1 species